AUGAUAACUCUGUCCGAGGAUGUGCGGACAGAAAUAGGAAAGCCUGCUUCUCGUCCUAUUCAAAUUGAAAUAUCCAAUGGAAAUAAAGCAAUAACCAUUUCCCCCUCUCGGCGGAUGAAGACAAUAAAUAAGCAAGCUCCUGGCACUCACUUCCUCACACAUAGCAGCCCCUGCUUCCACAUGGCUGGAAUCAUUUGAUUUGUACUGGGAAACCAGAGUCGCAAACACUGCCUGAGAGUGGUGCGUUUCAAAGGUUUCUCUUGACGGGAAGGAGGAUCUCUCCUUGAAGCGCCUGAAAGGAGUUUACUGUCAAGGAAGGAGGAAUAAAAAAGGUGUGAUAUUCCAAAAUCACAGCAGGGGCAGCUUGGAAGCUGAGCUAAGAUAUCCUGAAAGAAAUUGGAAUCCCCGGGUUUGAGCGUGGCGGGGUGAAGGGGAGGGGACGGCAGCCGCAGCAAUGCAGCGCUCCAUAGCUUCUUAUCACAUCAGACCUCUGCCUUUACAACGACCCACAAUAAAUACGGGAUACCCCACCGAGCCGACUGAAAAUAACAUCCUGCUGCAAUGUGUCUUACGAGAAAUGCCCUUAAAGCCUUCAGUAAAUUUUUUGCUUUGGCUUGGGGUUGUAAUACAUAUGUAGUCAGGCAUAUCUUCAGCCAUUCAGGAGAGAAGCUCAGGCCGAUCAAAAGGAAGGAGAUGUAAACGGAGACCCCUGUGCGGUGCCUCUGAAGGCUUUAUGGCUCUUUACACAGACUCAAUGUGAUAUGCGCUCAGGUAUUUCUCUCUGAGCGUGGACUGAGGACAUUGACUUCAGCGUGACCUUUGUUUAUGUGGGUUUGCACUGGACCAGCAGAAACAAGACAAGGUUGAGUGAAAAAAGAGCUCACAUCGUGACAAUAUCAGCAUGGGUUAGGUGCUGCAAUAAAAGGAUAUUCGGAUAUGGACGCCCCAAUGAUUACACUCAGGCAAGAUGUAAUUUUCAAUCUGGAUGUGGAAUAAGACCCUGCUCUCACUGAUUUGUUG
rnacentral:lncRNA from 1 species